AUUGAACGCUGGCAGCAGGCCUAACACAUGCAAGUCGAGCGGAUGAAGGGAGCUUGCUCCUGGAUUCAGCGGCGGACGGGUGAGUAAUGCCUAGGAAUCUGCCUGGUAGUGGGGGAUAACGUCCGGAAACGGGCGCUAAUACCGCAUACGUCCUGAGGGAGAAAGUGGGGGAUCUUCGGACCUCACGCUAUCAGAUGAGCCUAGGUCGGAUUAGCUAGUUGGUGGGGUAAAGGCCUACCAAGGCGACGAUCCGUAACUGGUCUGAGAGGAUGAUCAGUCACACUGGAACUGAGACACGGUCCAGACUCCUACGGGAGGCAGCAGUGGGGAAUAUUGGACAAUGGGCGAAAGCCUGAUCCAGCCAUGCCGCGUGUGUGAAGAAGGUCUUCGGAUUGUAAAGCACUUUAAGUUGGGAGGAACGGCAGUAAGUUAAUACCUUGCUGUUUUGACGUUACCAACAGAAUAAGCACCGGCUAACUUCGUG
rnacentral:rRNA from 1 species